rnacentral:antisense_RNA from 1 species
CUUCACCGACCCGAGCCACAAGGGGUGUUCCGCCGGGCGGUGCUGUCCGUAGGCGGCGAGCAGGGCGCGUGCCUC